UACGAAGGGGGCUAGCGUUGUUCGGAAUUACUGGGCGUAAAGCGCGCGCAGGCGGUCUUCCAAGUCAGUGGUGAAAGCCCGGAGCUCAACUCCGGAACUGCCAUUGAAACUGUGAGACUGGAGUACGAGAGAGGUGAGUGGAAUUCCCAGUGUAGAGGUGAAAUUCGUAGAUAUUGGGAAGAACACCGGUGGCGAAGGCGGCUCACUGGCUCGUAACUGACGCUCAGGCGCGACAGCGUGGGGAUCAAACAGG
rnacentral:rRNA from 1 species